AACAGCCACAUCAAGCCAGCAAGGCUUGACGUGGUCCAUGGCCCCGUUUUAAAGGCAGCAACAAAACAACA
rnacentral:lncRNA from 1 species